rnacentral:rRNA from 1 species
AACGAACGCUGGCGGCGUGCUUAACACAUGCAAGUCGAACGAAGUAGCAAUACUUAGUGGCGCACGGGUGAGUAACACGUGGGAAUCUGCCCUAAAGUGGGGGAUAACAGCUGGAAACGGCUGCUAAUACCGCAUAAUCUCGAAAGAGCAAAGAUUUAUCGCUUUAGGAUGAGCCCGCGUCUGAUUAGCUAGUUGGUGAGGUAAUGGCUCACCAAGGCGACGAUCAGUAGCCGGUCUGAGAGGACGAUCGGCCACACUGGGACUGAGACACGGCCCAGACUCCUACGGGAGGCAGCAGUGGGGAAUUUUGGACAAUGGGCGCAAGCUUGAUCCAGCGACGCCGCGUGAAUGAUGAAGGCCUUCGGGUUGUAAAGUUCUUUUGGCAGGGAAGAUAGUGACGGUACCUGCAGAAUAAGCACCGGCAAACUCUGUGCCAGCAGCCGCCGUAA